rnacentral:misc_RNA from 2 species
AAGUCGUAACAAGGUUUCCGUAGGUGAACCUGCGGAAGGAUCAUUAAUGAAAGUCUGGGCUUCGGCCCUCUCUCUUCUACACACUUGUGAAUCUACACUGUUGCUUUGGCAGGUAUCCUGGAUGGCGCAAGCUUGAAAGGUUAAACUGAAAGGUGCCUGCCAAAGACAUUUAUCCACCCUUUUUAUAUCGUCUGAUUUUUGUUUAAAACAAAUUAUAAUAAAACUUUCAACAAUGGAUCUCUUGGCUCUG